rnacentral:rRNA from 1 species
GUCCACGCCGUAAACGUUGCCUACUAGGUCUGGGGAGUAUCGACCCUCUCCGGACCGAAGCUAACGCGUUAAGUAGGCCGCCUGGGAAGUACGAGCGCAAGCUUAAAACUCAAAGGAAUAGACGGGGACCCGCACAAGCGGUGGAGCACGCGGUUCAAUUCGUCUCUAAGCGAGGAACCUCACCAGGGCUUGAAAUGCAGCUGCACAUCCAAGGAAACUUGGACUUCUUCGAGAGUGCUGCGUAGGUGUUGCAUUGUUGUCGU